rnacentral:rRNA from 1 species
GACGAACGCUGGCGGCGUGCUUAACACAUGCAAUUCGAACGGUGAAGUAGAGCUUGCUCUAUGGAUCAGUGGCGAACGGGUGAGUAACACGUUGGCAACCUGCCCCAGACUCUGGGAUAACUCCUCGAAAGAGGGGCUAAUACCGGAUAUUUGCAUUUCAAGACAUCUUGUGAUUCAGAAAGAAUUUCGGUCUGGGAAGUGCCCGCGGCCUAUCAGCUUGUUGGUUGGGUAACGGCUAACCAAGGCGACGACGGGUAGCCGGACUGAGAGGGCGACAGGCCACACUGGGACUGAGACACGGCCCAGACUCCUACGGGAGGCAGCAGUGGGGAAUAUUGGGCAAUGGGCGCAAGCCUGACCCAGCAACGCCGCGUGAGGGAUGAAGGUCCUAGGAUUGUAAACCUCUUUCAGCAGGGACGAAGCGAAAGUGACGGUACCUGCAGAAGAAGCACCGGCUAACUACGUGCCAGCAGCCGCCGUAA